rnacentral:rRNA from 1 species
CGAGAGGGUGCGAGCGUUUGUUCGGAAUUACUGGGCGUAAAGCGCGCGCAGGCGGGUCCUGUAAGUCGGAAGUGAAAUUUCGGAGCUCAACUCCGAAGCUGCUUCUGAUACUGCGGAUCUAGGGACUGGUAGAGGCUGGUAGAAUUACAGGUGUAGCGGUGGAAUGCGUAGAUAUCUGUAAGAAUACCCGUGGCGAAGGCGGCCAGCUGGGCCAGGUCCGACGCUGAGGCGCGAAAGCGUGGGGAGCAAACAGGAUUAGAUACCCUGGUAGUCCACGCCGUAAACGAUGGGCACUAGGUGCCGGGGGGAGCGACCCCUUCGGUGCCGCAGCUAACGCGAUAAGUGCCCCGCCUGGGGAGUACGGCCGCAAGGCUG